AUUGAACGCUGGCGGCAGGCCUAACACAUGCAAGUCGAGCGCGAAAGUCUUCGGAUGAGUAAAGCGGCGAACGGGUGAGUAACGCGUGGGAAUCUGCCCAGUAGUGGGGGACAACAGCCGGAAACGGCUGCUAAUACCGCAUACGCCCUACGGGGGAAAGGGGGGGAUCUUCGGACCUCUCGCUAUUGGAUGAGCCCGCG
rnacentral:rRNA from 1 species